GCCUAGUGGCUUAGUCGGUGAAGCGUCUGACUUCAGCUCAGGUCAUGAUCUCACGGUUCGUGAGUUCGAGCCCCGCAUCAGGCU
rnacentral:tRNA from 1 species